UACGGGGGGGGCAAGCGUUGUUCGGAAUUACUGGGCGUAAAGGGCUCGUAGGCGGCCAACUAAGUCAGACGUGAAAUCCCCAGGCUUAACCUGGGAACUGCGUCUGAUACUGGAUGGCUUGAAUUCGGGAGAGGGAUGCAGAAUUCCAGGUGUAGCGGUGAAAUGCGUAGAUAUCGGAAGGAACAUCAGUGGCGAAAGCGACUUCCUGGACCAGUACCGACGUUCAGGCACGAAAGCGUGGGGAGCAAACAGG
rnacentral:rRNA from 1 species